GGCGGCGUGCUUAACACAUGCAAGUCGAACGAAGAGCGAUGGAAGCUUGCUUCUAUCAAUCUUAGUGGCGAACGGGUGAGUAACGCGUAAUCAACCUGCCCUUCAGAGGGGGACAACAGUUGGAAACGACUGCUAAUACCGCAUACGAUCUAAUCUCGGCAUCGAGGAUAGAUGAAAGGUGGCCUCUACAUGUAAGCUAUCACUGAAGGAGGGGAUUGCGUCUGAUUAGCUAGUUGGAGGGGUAACGGCCCACCAAGGCGAUGAUCAGUAGCCGGUCUGAGAGGAUGAACGGCCACAUUGGGACUGAGACACGGCCCAGACUCCUACGGGAGGCAGCAGUGGGGAAUCUUCCGCAAUGGACGAAAGUCUGACGGAGCAACGCCGCGUGAGUGAUGACGGCCUUCGGGUUGUAAAGCUCUGUUAAUCGGGACGAAAGGCCUUCUUGCGAAUAGUGAGAAGGAU
rnacentral:rRNA from 1 species